CCUACGGGCGGCAGCAGUCGAGAAUCAUUCACAAUGGGGGAAACCCUGAUGGUGCGACGCCGCGUGGGGGAAUGAAGGUCUUCGGAUUGUAAACCCCUGUCAUGUGGGAGCAAAUUAACAAGAUAGUACCACAAGAGGACGAGACGGCUAACUCUGUGCCAGCAGCCGCGGUAAUACAGAGGUCUCAAGCGUUGUUCGGAAUCACUGGGCGUAAGGCGUGCGUAGGCUGUUUCGUAAGUCGUGUGUGAAAGGCGCGGGCUCAACCCGCGGACGGCACAUGAUACUGCGAGACUAGAGUAAUGGAGGGGGAACCGGAAUUCUCGGUGUAGCAGUGAAAUGCGUAGAUAUCGAGAGGAACACUCGUGGCGAAGGCGGGUUCCUGGACAUUAACUGACGCUGAGGCACGAAGGCCAGGGGAGCGAAAGGGAUUAGAUACCCUUGUAGUC
rnacentral:rRNA from 1 species